rfam:Schistosoma curassoni strain Dakar, Senegal genome assembly, scaffold: SCTD_contig0000630
AUCCAGCUGAUGAGUCUCAAAACUGACGAAACGCGCGUUCUGGAU